AGAGUUUGAUCCUGGCUCAGGAUGAACGCUGGCGGCGUGCUUAACACAUGCAAGUCGAACGGACAGGUAAUGAAACCUAGUGAUUUAUCUGUUAGUGGCGGACGGGUGAGUAACGCGUGGGUAACCUGCCGUAUACAGGGGGAUAACACUUAGAAAUAGGUGCUAAAACCGCAUAAGCGCACAGGAUCGCAUGGGUCUGGUGUGAAAAACUCCGGUGGUAUACGAUGGACCCGCGUCUGAUUAGCUUGUUGGCGGGGUAGAGGCCCACCAAGGCGACGAUCAGUAGCCGGCCUGAGAGGGUGAACGGCCACAUUGGGACUGAGACACGGCCCAAACUCCUACGGGAGGCAGCAGUGGGGAAUAUUGCACAAUGGGGGAAACCCUGAUGCAGCGACGCCGCGUGAGUGAAGAAGUAUUUCGGUAUGUAAAGCUCUAUCAGCAGGAAAGAAAAUGACGGUACCUGACUAAGAAGCCCCGACUAACUACGUG
rnacentral:rRNA from 1 species